rnacentral:rRNA from 1 species
AUUGAACGCUGGCGGCAUGCUUUACACAUGCCAGUCGAACGGUAACAGGCCGCAAGGUGCUGACGAGUGGCGAACGGGUGAGUAAUGCAUCGGAACGUGCCCAGUCGUGGGGGAUAACUACUCGAAAGAGUAGCUAAUACCGCAUACGAUCUAUGGAUGAAAGCGGGGGACCGUAAGGCCUCGCGCGAUUGGAGCGGCCGAUGUCAGAUUAGGUAGUUGGUGGGGUAAAGGCUCACCAAGCCAACGAUCUGUAGCUGGUCUGAGAGGACAACCAGCCACACUGGGACUGAGACACGGCCCAGACUCCUACGGGAGGCAGCAGUGGGGAAUUUUGGACAAUGGGCGCAAGCCUGAUCCAGCAAUGCCGCGUGCAGGAAGAAGGCCUUCGGGUUGUAAACUGCUUUUGUACGGAACGAAACGGCUCUGGUUAAUACCCGGGGCUAAUGGCGGUACCGUAAGAAUAAGCACCGGCUAACUACGUG